rnacentral:rRNA from 1 species
CGCUGGCGGCGUGCUUAACACAUGCAAGUCGAACGGAAAGGCCCUGCUUUUGUGGGGUGCUCGAGUGGCGAACGGGUGAGUAACACGUGAGUAACCUGCCCUUGACUUUGGGAUAACUUCAGGAAACUGGGGCUAAUACCGGAUAGGAGCUCCUGCUGCAUGGUGGGGGUUGGAAAGUUUCGGCGGUUGGGGAUGGACUCGCGGCUUAUCAGCUUGUUGGUGGGGUAGUGGCUUACCAAGGCUUUGACGGGUAGCCGGCCUGAGAGGGUGACCGGCCACAUUGGGACUGAGAUACGGCCCAGACUCCUACGGGAGGCAGCAGUGGGGAAUAUUGCACAAUGGGCGGAAGCCUGAUGCAGCAACGCCGCGUGCGGGAUGACGGCCUUCGGGUUGUAAACCGCUUUCGCCUGUGACGAAGCGUGAGUGACGGUAAUGGGUAAAGAAGCACCGGCUAACUACGUGCCAGCAGCCGCGGUGAUACGUAGGGUGCGAGCGUUGUCCGGAUUUAUUGGGCGUAAAGGGCUCGUAGGUGGUUGAUCGCGUCGGAAGUGUAAUCUUGGGGCUUAACCCUGAGCGUGCUUUCGAUACGGGUUGACUUGAGGAAGGUAGGGGAGAAUGGAAUUCCUGGUGGAGCGGUGGAAUGCGCAGAUAUCAGGAGGAACACCAGUGGCGAAGGCGGUUCUCUGGGCCUUUCCUGACGCUGAGGAGCGAAAGCGUGGGGAGCGAACAGGCUUAGAUACCCUGGUAGUCCACGCUGUAAACGGUGGGUACUAGGUGUGGGGUCCAUUCCACGGGUUCCGUGCCGUAGCUAACGCUUUAAGUACCCCGCCUGGGGAGUACGGCCGCAAGGCUAAAACUCAAAGGAAUUGACGGGGCCCCGCACAAGCGGCGGAGCAUGCGGAUUAAUUCGAUGCAACGCGUAGAACCUUACCUGGGUUUGACAUGGAUCGGGAGUGCUCAGAGAUGGGUGUGCCUCCUUUGGGGUCGGUUCACAGGUGGUGCAUGGCUGUCGUCAGCUCGUGUCGUGAGAUGUUGGGUUAAGUCCCGCAACGAGCGCAACCCUUGUUCACUGUUGCCAGCACGUUAUGGUGGGGACUCAGUGGAGACCGCCGGGGUCAACUCGGAGGAAGGUGGGGGUGACGUCAAGUCAUCAUGCCCCUUAUGUCCAGGGCUUCACGCAUGCUACAAUGGCUGGUACAGAGAGUGGCGAGCCUGUGAGGGUGAGCGAAUCUCGGAAAGCCGGUCUCAGUUCGGAUUGGGGUCUGCAACUCGACCUCAUGAAGUCGGAGUCGCUAGUAAUCGCAGAUCAGCAACGCUGCGGUGAAUACGUUCCCGGGGCUUGUACACACCGCCCGUCAAGUCAUGAAAGUUGGCAACACCCGAAGCCGGUGGCCUAACCGUUGUGGGGGAGCCGUCGAAGGUGGGACUGGUGAUUAGG